rnacentral:rRNA from 1 species
GACGAACGCUGGCGGCGUGCUUAACACAUGCAAGUCGAGCGGUAAGGCCCUUUCGGGGGUACACGAGCGGCGAACGGGUGAGUAACACGUGGGUGACCUGCCCUCAGCUCUGGGAUAAGCCUGGGAAACCGGGUCUAAUACUGGAUAUGACUCCAUGACGCAUGUUGUGGGGUGGAAAGCCUUGUGCGGCUGAGGAUGGGCCCGCGGCCUAUCAGCUUGUUGGUGGGGUGANGGCCUACCAAGGCGACGACGGGUAGCCGGCCUGAGAGGGCGACCGGCCACACUGGGACUGAGACACGGCCCAGACUCCUACGGGAGGCAGCAGUGGGGAACCUUGCGCAAUGGGCGAAAGCCUGACGCAGCGACGCCGCGUGA